rnacentral:rRNA from 1 species
GAAACAUAUCAUGUCACCCUGCAGCCCAAGACCGGUUACUCACUGAAGCUAAGCAGGGCUGAGCCUGGUCAGUACCUCAAUGGGAGACCAGUAGGGAAAACUAGGUUGCUGUUGGA